GCCCAGGUGGUGAAAUUGGUAGACACAAGGGACUUAAAAUCCCUCGGGACUUAACUCCCGUGCCGGUUCGACUCCGGCCCUGGGCA
rnacentral:tRNA from 1 species